CGUGCAGGUGGUUUGGUAAGUUGGGUAUGAAAUCUCCUGGCUUAACUGGGAGAGGUUGCUCAAAACUACCAGACUAGAGGACGGUAGAGGAAGGUGGAAUUCCCGGUGUAGUAGUGAAAUGCGUAGAUAUCGGGAGGAACACCAGUGGCGAAGGCGGCCUUCUGGGCCGUUCCUGACACUAAGACGCGAAAGCAUGGGUAGCAAAC
rnacentral:rRNA from 1 species